rnacentral:rRNA from 1 species
AACGAACGCUGGCGGCAUGCCUAACACAUGCAAGUCGAACGAACCCUUCGGGGUUAGUGGCGCACGGGUGCGUAACGCGUGGGAGUCUGCCCUUUGCUUCGGAAUAACAGUUGGAAAUGACUGCUAAUACCGGAUGAUGUCUUCGGACCAAAGAUUUAUCGGCAAAGGAUGAGCCCGCGUAGGAUUAGGUAGUUGGUGGUGUAAAGGCCUACCAAGCCGACGAUCCUUAGCUGGUCUGAGAGGAUGAUCAGCCACACUGGGACUGAGACACGGCCCAGACUCCUACGGGAGGCAGCAGUGGGGAAUAUUGGACAAUGGGCGCAAGCCUGAUCCAGCAAAUGCCCGCGUGUGUGAAGAAGGCCUUCGGGUCGUAA